rnacentral:rRNA from 1 species
GAGUUUGAUCGUGGCUCAGGAUGAACGCUGGCGGCGUGCCUAACACAUGCAAGUCGAACGGGCGCGGCGUGCGGCAGGGGCCUCGGCCCCUGCGGCGCCGCGCGAGUGGCGGACGGGUGAGUAACGCGUGGGCAACCUGCCCUGUACUGGGGGAUAACACCUGGAAACAGGUGCUAAUACCGCAUAAGCGCGCUGUGCCGCAUGGCACGGCGCGGAAAACCCCGGUGGUACAGGAUGGGCCCGCGUCUGAUUAGCUGGUUGGCAGGGUAACGGCCUACCAAGGCGACGAUCAGUAGCCGGCCUGAGAGGGUGGACGGCCACACUGGGACUGAGACACGGCCCAGACUCCUACGGGAGGCAGCAGUGGGGGAUAUUGCACAAUGGGGGGAACCCUGAUGCAGCGACGCCGCGUGGGUGAAGAAGCGCCUCGGCGCGUAAAGCCCUGUCAGCAGGGAGAAAAUGACGGUACCUGAAGAAGAAGCCCGGCUAACUACGUGCCAGCAGCCGCGGU